ensembl:snRNA Gm22885 predicted gene, 22885
GUGCUCUGUUUGGCACCACGUAAAUUAAAAAAAUUAGAAUGAUACAGAGUUUACUAAGGCCCUUGCCAAAGGAGGACACACAAAUUCAUGAAACAUUCCAUAUUUUA